GUGCGUCGGCAGCACAUGUACCAAAACUGGAAGAUAUAGAGAAGAUUCACAUGGCCCCUGAGCAAGGAGGAUGCACAGAUUUGUGAAGCGUUCCAGACUUUC
ensembl:snRNA U6 U6 spliceosomal RNA